rnacentral:rRNA from 1 species
CGAAGGGUGCAAGCGUUACUCGGAAUUACUGGGCGUAAAGCGUGCGUAGGUGGUUCGUUAAGUCUGCCGUGAAAGCCCCGGGCUCAACCUGGGAAUGGCGAUGGAUACUGGCUCGCUAGAGUGCGGUAGAGGGUGGUGGAAUUCCCGGUGUAGCAGUGAAAUGCGUAGAGAUCGGGAGGAACAUCAGUUGCGAAGGCGGCCACCUGGACCAGCACUGACACUGAGGCACGAAAGCGUGGGGAGCAAACAGGAUUAGAUACCCUGGUAGUCCACGCCCUAAACGAUGCGAACUGGACGUUGGGAGCAACUAGGCCCUCAGUGUCGAAGCUAACGCGUUAAGUUCGCCGCCUGGGGAGUACGGUCGCAAGACUG